rnacentral:miRNA from 1 species
ACCCCAUCCCUCAGCCUCACCCC